GCAGUCGUGGCCGAGUGGUUAAGGCGAUGGACUCGAAAUCCAUUGGGGUUUCCCCGCACAGGUUCGAAUCCUGUCGGCUGCG
rfam:Ixodes scapularis strain Wikel colony gcontig_1108379222562, whole genome shotgun sequence.